GUAAGAUUCUACAAUAAAUCAUAGUCCUGGCAAUUGAAGAUAACUCAGAGAUGUCACUGAUUAUUUGGUAACCCCAUUCCACUUUAAUACUGUUAAUAGACACACGGUAGACACAAUAUAGAUUGCCAUUAUUCGACAUGCGAGCUUGCUAACAUAACCAGUAUAAAGCCCGUCAAAGGAAGAGGGUUGUGAUAAGUUGAUAGUCAAGUGUAAAACUAGCACAUUUAUGAUGAAUCCAUGCAAUACAGAAUACAACCACAACUAUACCAAUUAAUCACAAUUCACAAGGCAGACACGAGAAAGAAGUAGGCUUCUUGUUUCCAAAUUUCUUUUUCCUUUCCUAGUGCUCUUCAUGAGCAUACAGAAACUUACUGGAUGAUAGUAACAACAACGUACCCUGUGUAAUCCCAUAAGUGAAGUCUGGAGAGAGUGUUCUAUACGCAAACCUUACCCCUACCUUAUGCAGGAAGAGAGGUUGUUUCAGAUCCACCACUCGACUCAAAUUUGC
rnacentral:misc_RNA from 1 species